UCUAAAAGUAAAAAGGUAAUACCUUUGGGGAAACCUAUGCUCCCUGACGGCCUUUUUUCUAAUCAAAGGAACUUGUUUAUUAAUCGAAAUUACCCGUUACUUUUCUCUUCUCCUCAAAGUUUUUAUACCGUCGUCUUAAGGGUACAGUCAUGACUGUAUUCAUAAAAAUCUCCUUUUGAUAAGUCAGAUCAAGGUGAAGCCAAUGGGGAAGAUCAAAAUGAGUUAUUCAUAAAAACAAUUUUAAGAUUUCAAUUGAAAAAGUAGAUGAAUUAAGAUUUGAUAGUAUCACUGAAUUAAUAUUUCAUAGAGAAUAAGUAAAAAGAGGUGC
rnacentral:rRNA from 1 species